UACGGGGGGAGCAAGCGUUGGUCGGAUUUACUGGGCGUAAAGGGCGCGUAGGCGGCCACCGCAAGUCGACUGUGAAAUCUCCGGGCUUAACCCGGAAAGGUCAGCCGAUACUGCGGGGCUAGAGUGCAGAAGGGGCAACUGGAAUUCUCGGUGUAGCGGUGAAAUGCGUAGAUAUCGAGAGGAACACCUGCGGCGAAGGCGGGUUGCUGGGCUGACACUGACGCUGAUGUGCGAAAGCUAGGGGAGCGAACGGG
rnacentral:rRNA from 1 species